rnacentral:rRNA from 1 species
CGGCGAACGGGUGAGUAACACGUGAGCAACCUGCCCUAGGCUUUGGGAUAACCCCGGGAAACCGGGGCUAAUACCGAAUAUGACCAUUCUCCGCAUGGUGGGUGGUGGAAAGUUUUUCGGCCUGGGAUGGGCUCGCGGCCUAUCAGCUUGUUGGUGGGGUGAUGGCCUACCAAGGCGACGACGGGUAGCCGGCCUGAGAGGGCGACCGGCCACACUGGGACUGAGACACGGCCCAGACUCCUACGGGAGGCAGCAGUGGGGAAUAUUGCACAAUGGGCGGAAGCCUGAUGCAGCGACGCCGCGUGAGGGAUGACGGCCUUCGGGUUGUAAACCUCUUUCAGCAGGGACGAAGCGUAAGUGACGGUACCUGCAGAAGAAGCGCCGGCCAACUACGUGCCAGCAGCCGCGGUAAGACGUAGGGCGCGAGCGUUGUCCGGAUUUAUUGGGCGUAAAGAGCUCGUAGGCGGCUUGUCGCGUCUACUGUGAAAACCCGCAGCUCAACUGCGGGCUUGCAGCCGAUACGGGCAGGCUAGAGUUCGGUAGGGGAGACUGGAAUUCCU